rnacentral:rRNA from 1 species
UACGUAGGGGGCGAGCGUUGUCCGGAAUUAUUGGGCGUAAAGAGCUCGUAGGCGGUCUGUCGCGUCGGUCGUGAAAACUUGGGGCUUAACCCCGAGCUUGCGGUCGAUACGGGCAUGACUGGAGUUCGGCAGGGGAGACUGGAAUUCCUGGUGUAGCGGUGAAAUGCGCAGAUAUCAGGAGGAACACCGGUGGCGAAGGCGGGUCUCUGGGCCGAUACUGACGCUGAGGAGCGAAAGCGUGGGGAGCAAACAGG